UUUAGUCCAAAGUAAUGUGUUUAAACCCAAAAUGAUGAGUAAUUAUUAAAUAAUUUAAAAGUGGGCUGUCCAAGGAGAAAGAGCCCUGGGUGCCAGGAAGAGUUCAGCUUCGUAGGGGAAAGUGGGAAGGCUCGUAUAGCUACACAGCACAGUGCUGAUGGUGUAGGGGAAGAACAUCCUUAGAUGUCUGCUCAAUUUGCCAGGAAUUUCUCUUCUGAACUAUUACCUCCAGUUUUCUCCAGAACACCCUCAGUCCUUUUAUCUGUGAGCUAUCUUGAAGUUUACUGUCUGCCUAUCGCCUUGGCUGAACCACACUAAUAGUCAGCUAAUUACAUGUGAACGCUCUAAUUUGCUUUAUGUCUUUCUCAAAAACCCGUGCGUGUGCAGGCAUGCACGUGAGUAAACUUUUGCUCAUGCUAUAAAAUUGCAGCGCUGUGUAGAAUUAGUGUGCCAGCCGAAGCACGAUAAAAUUUGUUGCAUGUUUGCUACCCCCUCCAUUGCUUUCCCCCAAGCAGGCUACCACCAAUGCUUGUCAUUCCUGAUUUGCAACAUCACCUGUUGCUCCAACACCAGGCUUCUCUAGACCAGAAACUGGAGCAAAGAAGAGAAAUACGUGUUUGUCAUUGAACUGAACUGAGAAGAAGGAAGAGGAGAACGAUAAGAUCAUAGCCUGCAGCACUUUGUUUAUGAGAACAUCCUUCCAGUGAUAUAUGUCUGCACCAGGUGAAAGUAUUGUGUCACCCCUAACAUAUUUUAAAUGCCAGGGCUGUCAUGCAAGAAGACAAUGAUGAACAAGUUUAAACAGAAUAUGGUAUUGUAGCCAUGUACAGAGUGUUACCCUUUAAAGGUUUUCACUGGUAGUGCUUCUUAGCAAAAUGUUUCCAAACUCUGUUAUAUUCCCCUACAGAACCUCUCUCACAAAGAAUUUAAACUGAAUGAAAAUAUUUCUUUUGCAGAUAAACUGAUGGGGUUAUACAUACACCAGUGUGUUUUCUCACACGUUUUUUUUUUUCAGGCCACUUCACAAUGUCCUUCCUGCCAUACUGUCUGAGCUUCUCAUGACUCCUUAGGAACCCUGCUUCGCUUAGCAAAUAGGCAAAUAAAGGAAUCCAGCAUGUGGAUCCAGUGAUGAGUGGGCAGGGCAGAGCUUGUGCCUGGGGCUGGUGCUUUUCACAUGUGGGACAUCCUGGUCUGAUGUCAAGGAGUCUGCAGUUGACUCUCGAGAAUAACUACAGAAUGAUUUGAUGGCUUGGGAAAAAAAAAAAAAAAAAAAAGCAUUGAAUGGCCUCAGUCCAUUAAUGGAUCCUCUACAGACAGCAUUAUAUAUGGGCUAUAUAUACUGCAGCAUAUGAAUCAGUGAAGAAAAAAAAUCUUACGGCAAGAAGAUACUUGAUCACAAAUGUGAUUGUGUCACUAUAGAUUUUAAAGCUAAAAAGAGUCAUUUUAAAAAAAAAGAAUAAGAGGGGUGAAAUGGUCAGAUUUUUUUUUCUAGGGGAGCACUGUGCUAUAUGCCUAAUUAUAAACCCAAGACUGGUUCCAGAGAUUUCAAAUCCCUUAACAUUAAGUUUGUGAUUAAAUGUUUUGGUGUUUGGAAUUGCUGGGGAGAUAAUAAUGUAUUCUUCUCUCAGUCUUUAAAUGUUUAUUUUUGACCCAUUGCAAAUUAAGUUUCUAUCUGAGGUGUCAGAUAGAAACAAGGUCCUUUAAAUUUUAUAGUCACCAGUUAAUAUGCAGCUUGUGAUGGUCUCCACUGCUUUAUAGCCUGUUAAGUCAAAUGACAGUCAACAUUUGCAUCUAGCACAAAGGUGGGGAGCAUCCUCACAUCACCCAAAGUUGUCCCAUGGAGGAAGAAAACACUAACUGGAGUUUCUGGUUCUGAUUGCUUUCAGUUUGCCCUCAGGGUGUCCAGCUGCUGAAAUACAAGCUCUUAUUAGUUUUACCACUCUAUGAAGCAGCUUUGAAGAUGGUUGAUUUUGGGGCACCUUUUUGACUGGGAUACCAAGAGGGAGUCCUUGCAGAAGCUGACAGUCAAAACGAAUUGUAUGACACAGAUUCAGACCUUCGUAUUUUCCUAAAACAUACUUAGAUACAAAUGUUGUCACUUUCUGAACUAAGUGAAAACCAUUGCACCUAAUAGCCUUCAGUUAGAUCCCAUAGUAAAGCUGGAAAAACCAGACAGCUAUCGGGCAUUGGAAGCCUUCCUUAUGUCUGAAAUACAGCGCCAGACUUAGCUAAAUACAGUUGAA